CGGAGGGAUCAUUACUGA
rnacentral:rRNA from 5 species